rnacentral:tmRNA from 1 species
GUUGUUUUUAAUCUAUCAACAAUCCAUUAUAUAAGGUUUGUUGUUUUACAACUAUGGCAAUAAAUGCUUUGUGAAAUAAGCGGGACGGACCCGGGGGCAGAACCCGGCGCCUCCACCAAUAAUAAAUAUGGGGGCGAAUCAGGCUCGACGUACGUUGAAAGGCAAAGACUUUGCUCGGCAUUGUACCACCGUUAUCGGGCUAUUUUAUAAAUGCUAACGAUAAUAGAUUAGCUAUCGCUGCCUAGUUUCUAGGAUAGCGCGGUUUGGGGCACCGGGCAACAGAACGCCCCAUU